rnacentral:rRNA from 1 species
UGGGGAAUAUUGCGCAAUGGGGGGAACCCUGACGCAGCAACGCCGCGUGAAGGAAGAAGGUCUUCGGAUUGUAAACUUCUUUGAUGAGGGACGAAGUAAGUGACGGUACCUCAAAAACAAGCCACGGCUAACUACGUGCCAGCAGCCGCGGUAAUACGUAGGUGGCGAGCGUUGUCCGGAAUUACUGGGUGUAAAGGGCGUGUAGGCGGGGAUGCAAGUCAGAUGUGAAAUACCGAGGCUUAACCUCGGGGCUGCAUCUGAAACUGUGUUUCUUGAGUGUCGGAGAGGAAAGCGGAAUUCCUGGUGUAGCGGUGAAAUGCGUAGAGAUCAGGAGGAACACCGGUGGCGAAGGCGGCUUUCUGGACGACAACUGACGCUGAGGCGCGAAAGCGUGGGGAGCAAACAGG